UUUAUGGAGAGUUUGAUCCUGGCUCAGGAUGAACGCUGGCGGCGUGCCUAAUACAUGCAAGUCGAGCGAACGGACGAGAAGCUUGCUUCUCUGAUGUUAGCGGCGGACGGGUGAGUAACACGUGGAUAACCUACCUAUAAGACUGGGAUAACUUCGGGAAACCGGAGCUAAUACCGGAUAAUAUUUUAAACCGCAUGGUUCAAAAGUGAAAGACGGUCUUGCUGUCACUUAUAGAUGGAUCCGCGCUGCAUUAGCUAGUUGGUAAGGUAACGGCUUACCAAGGCAACGAUGCAUAGCCGACCUGAGAGGGUGAUCGGCCACACUGGAACUGAGACACGGUCCAGACUCCUACGGGAGGCAGCAGUAGGGAAUCUUCCGCAAUGGGCGAAAGCCUGACGGAGCAACGCCGCGUGAGUGAUGAAGGUCUUCGGAUCGUAAAACUCUGUUAUUAGGGAAGAACAUAUGUGUAAGUAACUGUGCACAUCUUGACGGUACCUAAUCAGAAAGCCACGGCUAACUACGUGCCAGCAGCCGCGGUAAUACGUAGGUGGCAAGCGUUAUCCGGAAUUAUUGGGCGUAAAGCGCGCGUAGGCGGUUUUUUAAGUCUGAUGUGAAAG
rnacentral:rRNA from 1 species